rnacentral:tRNA from 2 species
CGGGAUGUAGGGGAACGGUACCCCACGUGGUUUGGGACCACGUAGUCGUCGGUUCGACUCCGACCAUCCCGA